rnacentral:lncRNA from 1 species
GAACCCAACAAAUGAAUGACACCACCACAGGCAUGACAAGGAAAGCACAGAAAGAAAUAUGAUGCUGUGAAGAGGGCAGUGCUCUUCUGAGAAAACUCCUGCUCCAGGUGAGAGCAGCUGGUGACCACAAAAAGACAAAGACAGCAGAGAUGGCAGCAAUCGGUGAUCAGCAGAGAGACAGCAAUUGGCAAGAUAUGACAA